GUGGUUGAUAAACGAGUUUUAAUGACUCCAACCUAAGUGUAUGUAAACUUCCGACUUCAACUGUAUGUAUACAGAGACCUCAAUCCCAAUGGUUUAUAAUAUUACGGUAUGUGUUUAUUUGCCUGUUCUUGUUCACAGCUGCCAAAGUUCAAUUUCUGCUGUGAUUUCCUUAUUACACCAAUACCCUUUCUCUGUGCGCAUUGAGUUACUUCCCAUUCAUUAAAUAUUAAAGCCACCUAUCAAGUGCAAUGAUACAAACCGAAUAUAAGCAAGGAAACUACUUUUCCUGACAUAUUUGAAUAGUUUGUAAUCAAAUAGAUCAUGUGUUGUCCCCACACAUAACCUAUCUUGCAUCAUUGUAGCACAGCCUAUAAACUACACUGAAAAUGAUAGUUUGUUGUUUGCAUACUGUAAAUUUGAAUUUGGCCCUCUCUGCUGGAAGAAAUGUGCAAGCACAUGUAAUGCCCAUUAGGCCUGUUUGAUGAUUGGCACAGUUAAUAAUUUCUUUAAGACAUGCAACUUCUUCUUACAAAAAAAAAAAAACACACAUCAUUUAUAGCCUAGGUAUAUAAUGUGUUCAAUCUGAAAUUAGGUCAAACAAAAUAGAGAGUAGGCCUAUCCUGUAUGUGCAAUAAUGUAGCCUACAUUGUAUAAACCAUAUUGGCCCACACAUUGCUUAACACACGAAUGUGACUUGAGAAGCACGUCGUAAAUGACCCCAUUUUAUGCAACCUAUGUAAAUCCCUGAUGAACCCGAAUUGUGUAAUUUACCCCAAAGUCUCAUUUGUCUCUAGUUCAUUAUUUCCUUGUACAUAUACUGUGUUUGCCCAAGGUAGCCAUAAUUUCAUUAAUCCAUGGCCCAAACAAGUGGCCAUACAGUAAGAAUUGCUGUCUUUUUCAGUGGGGUACAUAUUCUUUCAAAUUUUGUAUUGAGAUUCUGUCUAUUUUGUUAGGACUUUUAAAGUUAUUGCCUGGAUAUGUUUUUGGCAAAUAGUUCAAUUAUGAAUGUUUUUUUCUUAAGACAGGUAAUUAGAUCAUAUAGUAGAUAAUUGAUUCAAAUGGCAGUUGUAUUCCACUUUUGUUUUUCUUUACAUUGGUCAGUGCUAUUGAUUCUCCAAGGACCCUUCGUAUGUUUCAUCUGCAGUUGAAGAGAUGGAGAGAUGUUCUUGCUUUCUCUGACUGCCCUUGUUGUCCUUCACUGCAUGAACACAACUCCAGAGUUCCAAGAGCCGGUGGUGGCUGAAGUACGUGAUGUUCCUCCGCCUCUUCUAGACAUCGAGGGGAUCCCGGCGUACUCUGUUCGAUCCAUUUUGGAUUCGAGACGUCGGGCGAGGGGCCUUCAGUACCUCAUGGACUGGGAGGGGUACAGGCCGGAGGAGAAAUUCUGGGUUCCGGUGGAGGACAUGUUAGAUCCUUCCAUGUUAAAAGAAUUCCACCGUCUCAAUCCAGAUCGCCCUGCACCUCGCCCUCCGGGUCGUCCCUGAGGCCGGCUUCAGGGGGGGGGGGGGUACUGUCACGACUUCUGCCGAAGUUGUUGCCCCUCCUUGUUCGGGCAGUGCUCGGUGGGCGACCUUACCGGCCUUCUAGCCAUCAUUGAUCCAUUUUUCAUUUUCCGUUGGUUUUGUCUUGUCUUCCCACACACCUGUUUUCAAUCCCAUUCAUUACCUGUUGUGUAUUUAACCCUCUGUUUCCCUCAUGUCUUUGUCAGAGAUUGUUUUAUGUCAAGUGUUGUUUUAUGUUGUAUAGGUGCGCGACGGGUCCUCAUACCCAUGUUCGUUUAUGUCUGUACGUAUUUAGUGUUUGGAGCAUGUUAAGUGGACUUAUAUUAAAAGACUCCAUUUACAC